rnacentral:rRNA from 1 species
GAUGAACGCUGGCGGCGUGCCUAAUACAUGCGAGUCGAGCGAACGGACGAGAAGCUUGCUUCUCUGAUGUUAGCGGCGGACGGGUGAGUAACACGUGGAUAACCUACCUAUAAGACUGGGAUAACUUCGGGAAACCGGAGCUAAUACCGGAUAAUAUUUUAAACCGCAUGGUUCAAAAGUGAAAGACGGUCUUGCUGUCACUUAUAGAUGGAUCCGCGCUGCAUUAGCUAGUUGGUAAGGUAACGGCUUACCAAGGCAACGAUGCAUAGCCGACCUGAGAGGGUGAUCGGCCACACUGGAACUGAGACACGGUCCAGACUCCUACGGGAGGCAGCAGUAGGGAAUCUUCCGCAAUGGGCGAAAGCCUGACGGAGCAACGCCGCGUGAGUGAUGAAGGUCUUCGGAUCGUAAAACUCUGUUAUUAGGGAAGAACAUAUGUGUAAGUAACUGUGCACAUCUUGACGGUACCUAAUCAGAAAGCCACGGCUAACUACGUG